CCUACGGGAGGCAGCAGUGGGGAAUAUUGGGCAAUGGGCGCAAGCCUGACCCAGCAACGCCGCGUGAAGGAAGAAGGCUUUCGGGUUGUAAACUUCUUUUAAGGGGGACGAACAAAUGACGGUACCCCUUGAAUAAUCCACGGCUAACUACGUGCCAGCCGCCGCGGUCAUACGUAGGUGGCAAGCGUUAUCCGGAUUUAUUGGGUGUAAAGGGCGUGUAGGCGGGAGCUCAAGUCAGAUGUGAAAACUCAGGGCUCAACCCUGAGCCUGCAUUUGAAACUGUGUUUCUUGAGUGUUGGAGAGGCAAGCGGAAUUCGGGGUGUAGCGGUGAAAUGCGUAGAUAUACGGAGGAACACCAGUGGCGAAGGCGGAUUGCUGAACAGUAACUGACGCUGAGGCGCGAAAGCGUGGGGAGCAAACAGGAUUAGAUACCCCUGUAGUC
rnacentral:rRNA from 1 species